CUACAAUCUACAUGUAAAUAGGAGAUGAGUAAUUUUUGAAACACCUUUUAAAAUUGUUAUUCCUUCUAUUACUUGUUAUUCGUUAAAUGUCGUUCUGGAUAAGGUCUGAUGGAGUUGUAACAUAAUUAAUCAAAAGCAUCUUCAAUCGAACAAUAAUCUGCAAAGAGCUUCUCUAAUUCAGAGAUCUUUUUCGAAGUUAAUUUUUCAACGGAUGUUGAUACAUCUUCUGAAUCAUGUCUUGUAAAUGUUAGCAGAGAAUCAAAUAUGUGGGUAUAAUUUUUAGUUGCAUUGGUCAACGAGACGCGAUGUGCUCUGCUGGUAUCAAUUAAAGAGCUGUGAUUCUUUGCAAUACGAUCAGAAUCAUUUUGAAAAUCAUUGAGCAAAGAAGCACUUUGAAGAAGUUGUUCGGCAAUCAAAGAACGACAGUCUUUGGUUUCAGAGAUCAUGUCCUGCAAUAUUUCAGGAUUGUUUUGCGAUCGUAAAACAUUAACAUUUGUUUGCAAUUGCUGAGCUGACAACUUUGCUAACUCUAAUUUUGAAGACGCCGAACGGUGCUGCUUUUCCAUUUCUUUCACCUUUUUAUGGUAUGAAAGCAGCGAUUCCUCUAGCUUCCUACUUUGUUCCCGCAGCUGUAUUUUUUUAUUGGCAGUUAAGUCACCCGACGCAUUAAAUGAAUUUAAAAAGGUGUCUUCUUUUUCAUUUUCUGCCUUCAGCUCCUUAGUCUUUGAACGCAAGUCGUUUAUAGCAUAUACUAACUGCAAGUUGAUUUGCUCCUCUUUAUGCAGUUGAGACCUUUUUUUUUCUAGCUCUUUUAACUGAUUUUCAGUUUCUUCCUUAAGAUUUUGAAGUACCAAGCUGGUUUGUUUGUUCAUGACAGGCAAUACGGAUAUAUGACUUUCCUCGUCGUUCAUUACUCAAGUAUUUUCAGUUUUUUUAUAUAGAGUUCUAAGAGCUGAUGGUUUUCUACUAAAAUUACAAUAGAGGGGAAAAGGAUUGAAAUGUAAAUUAUAGCAGUUGUAUGCAGAAGGGAAAACGAUAUUCUACCCUUCAAGAUGCCAUAGAUGUUUCAGUGUAUUUUCGUAACAGUUUUUAAUAGUUGUCGAAGUGG